GGAAGCAGGUAGGGCCAUCUUAUGUUGUUUGAAGCUGAGAAGCUGUCAGGGCUGUGCUGUGAGGUUCUUUCAAGAAGUGACCUGCAGCAAUCUUCACCUCUGUUCCCUGGAACUUUGGGUACCCCCUACUUGGUGAUGUAGAUAUAAAGAGAACAUUCCCCACACCCUAUGGGAAUGGUAUUUGGGUGAGUUUGUGGGAUGGCCAAGGCUGCCCAUCCUGAUAUCUGUAUACAUGAUGGAUCUCCGGGGCAAAUCUGCCCAGGGUCAGGCAGAGUUUAGGAAUCUGAGACCUUCCCUUUCCUUGUAGCACUGGCAUCAUUCAAACUCUUUGGACAGGCUGGAUUUUCCUCAAAGGGUCGCUGGCACAACAGACACUGAGCCUCAAGGAAAACUGGCUCACUAAGAGGAGUUGGCCCUGACCCUCAGAUGAGACUUUGGACUCUGGACUCUCCAGUCGGUAUCUGACCAAGCAAAGACUAGACAGUUGAGACAGGAAGCCACGUUGUGUGUGUGAAAAGCACAGGGUUCAAGGCUCUCUCUUGCCCUUCUGCUGCCAUGAGCUUAAACAUAAGGUCAAAAAAAAAAAAAAGCCAACCUCUUGAACUUCUCAGACUUCAGAACCAUGAGCCAAGUGACCUGUGGCAUCACAAAAACUAGCAAGACGCCAGAGCUGGCCAAUGCUUUUGAAGCCACCCAGCACCUCUGCCCAGAGCUCCAGGGAACAAGCAGAGUGGGACACCUUCUUCUAGGAGGCCCAAGGCUGAGGGUUCACUCACCUUUUCAGCCAGAGGCUCAGGCGAGAAUGGACUUGAAACUUCACACACCUCCUCAGCCUGGACCCCAGAAGUCUCUUCAGCAGAUCAUAGGCCAGAAAGCCGAGAACCACACAGGUGAUGACCAACAGCGCCAGGGCCCUCUGGAAGUCCAGGAGGCAGGCGGUGAUCAAGAAAGCAAUGUACGCUGCAGGAGGAGUCAUUGGUGGGUUCAGCAGGGGAAGACCAUGACUCUAAACCCAGAGCGUGGUUUGUCACUCAGUUCCUCCCAGCCUAGCUGUCCUCACCUGGAAGUGAAACAAUUGUCCCCACUGUGUCAGAAUGUUAUUAGGGGACUGGGGACAUGGCUCAGGGGUGGAGGUUUGUCCAGCAUACCUGAGGCCCUGGCAAAAUGUGUAAAAAAGGCUUUUUUGUGUUAUAAAGUGGUAGCAGAGACUGGGGGAUGACAUUAUGGGCAUCAACAAAGCAACUGGCCUGAGCCAUGCUAAGUCUCCAGCGGGCCAGGCUGGAUGAGUCAGUGACUCCUGGACUCCAGAUUGUGCCUUUACCCUAUACUGUUGAUAACGAUCUCUCUCUUCCUCCCUCUCAUACAUGCACAUGUGGUGUGUGUGUGUGUGUGUGUGUGUGUGUGUGUGUGCAUGCUUGUGCAUAGGAUUGCUAGGUUCGGUUUAGGCCACACUCAUCCAUAACAGCCUCCUCCUCUCUCUGCUCUCACAGCUGCAGUAAAAGACAUGGCAGGCACCCUAAUAGGUCUGUGGGUCUGCAAUCCUCAUUUCUAAGAGUUCAGAAAGCUCAGGUUACUAGCCUCUGGGAACUUGAUAAGCCCCCUGCUGUGACCCUGCGCUGGCUAAGGAGGAUAGCUUCCGCCUUCCCUGCUGCCCAGGCAACCUGGCUACAAACGCAUAUUACUGACUACUCAUUAACUACAUGGAACGUGAUUGUCCUCCUCUCUUUGAAACCCUGAAGACAGUGGUUCUCAACUUGUGGGUCAUAAAUACCUGCUAUCAGAUAUUUAGAUUAUGAGUCAUAACAGUAGCAAAAUUACAGUUAUGAAGUAGCAACAAAAUAAUAUUGGGGGGG